rnacentral:rRNA from 1 species
AUUGAACGCUGGCGGCAUGCCUUACACAUGCAAGUCGAACGGUAACGCGGGGGCAACCCUGGCGACGAGUGGCGAACGGGUGAGUAAUACAUCGGAACGUACCCAGUAGUGGGGGAUAGCUCGGCGAAAGCCGGAUUAAUACCGCAUACGACCUACGGGUGAAAGCGGGGGAUCGCAAGACCUCGCGCUAUUGGAGCGGCCGAUGUCGGAUUAGCUAGUUGGUGAGGUAAAGGCUCACCAAGGCUACGAUCCGUAGCUGGUCUGAGAGGACGACCAG